CCGGCACUUCCUUUCCGCGCAGCGCCUGGGCGCGCGGGUUCCUCGUGCAGCAUGGCGGGCAGCGGAGGCCCGGGGCUGCGGAGCCCGGCCUGUCCUCGGGCUCUUCCAGGUGCAACUUGUCUCUUGAAGAUGCUUGAACAAAUGUUUUCCAAAAACUUCUCAUGGAAAGUGAUGUAAACAAGCUACCAAGAGGACAGUUGCCAGUAAAAAGCACAUUGGUGGCUGCAGGUGAACGUCCAAUGUCAGUAGCUGUGAUGUUUACAAACACUUCAUUGUUCUGGAUGCGGCACAUGUUUGGAAUGUAAAAUGAAGAAUUGGUCAAGAAACUGAGCAGAAGCAAGUGAUGAGAAUUAGUAUUUUAUUUGAUAGUAAUAAACAAUAAAUUAUGUAGAAAUAAA